rnacentral:rRNA from 1 species
GACGAACGCUGGCGGCGUGCUUAACACAUGCAAGUCGAACGGAAAGGCCCUGCUUUUGUGGGGUGCUCGAGUGGCGAACGGGUGAGUAACACGUGAGUAACCUGCCCUUGACUUUGGGAUAACUUCAGGAAACUGGGGCUAAUACCGGAUAGGAGCUACUGCUGCAUGGUGGGGGUUGGAAAGUUUCGGCGGUUGGGGAUGGACUCGCGGGUUAUCAGCUUGUUGGUGGGGUAGUGGCUUACCAAGGCUUUGACGGGUAGCCGGCCUGAGAGGGUGACCGGCCACAUUGGGACUGAGAUACGGCCCAGACGCCUACGGGAGGCAGUAGUGGGGAAUAUUGCACAAUGGGCGGAAGCCUGAUGCAGCAACGCCGCGUGCGGGAUGACGGCCUUCGGGUUGUAAACCGCUUUCGCCUGUGACGAAGCGUGAGUGACGGUAAUGGGUAAAGAAGCACCGGCUAACUACGUG